GGGGAAUAUUCCGCAAUGGACGAAAGUCUGACGGAGCAACGCCGCGUGAGUGAUGACGGUUUUCGGACUGUAAAGCUCUGUUGUUUAGGACGAAAGUGCCUGUUGCGAACAGUUACAGGUAUUGACGGUACUAAACGAGGAAGCCACGGCUAACUACGUGCCAGCAGCCGCGGUAAUACGUAGGAGACAAGCGUUAUUCGGAUUUACUGGGCGUAAAGCGCGUGCAGGCGGUCUGACAAGUUGGAUGUGAAAGCUCCUGGCUUAACUGGGAGAGGUCGUGCANAACUAUCAGACUAGAGAGUGGUAGAGGAAGGCGGAAUUCCGGGUGUAGUGGUGAAAUGCGUAGAUAUCCGGAGGAACACCAGUGGCGAAAGCGGCCUUCUGGACCAAUUCUGACGCUCAGACGCGAAAGCUAGGGUAGCGAACG
rnacentral:rRNA from 1 species